AUAACGUCGCAAGUUACGCCAUACAAAAGUAUAAAAGCCAGAACAAAAUGGUGGAACUACCGAAUAUUAAGUAAUUAAUUUCGACAAGUACCCACUGCAAGUUACAUAAAAUGCGAUUUAUAUUAUUUGUUUGCGUCCUCCUUUUAACAGUUGCCCUUACGGUUGCUGUUCCUGUACCAGAAUCAGCCCCGCCAGGACAGUUCGGACCCUUUGGCCCUGUGGACCCUGGUUUGAAAUGAGUAGAAGUGCUGCAGGGAAAUUAUCAACAUAAUUAAUAUUGACUAGAAUAAAAUUUACUUAUAUAUUUAUAACUCUGUUUUUUAUGUAAAAAAAAUUAUACUCCGGUUUACAACCACCUG